UACGAAGGGGGCUAGCGUUGUUCGGAUUUACUGGGCGUAAAGCGCACGUAGGCGGUUUGUUAAGUCAGGGGUGAAAUCCCGGAGCUCAACUCCGGAACUGCCUUUGAUACUGGCAAGCUAGAGUCCGGAAGAGGUAGGUGGAACUCCUAGUGUAGAGGUGGAAUUCGUAGAUAUUAGGAAGAACACCAGUGGCGAAGGCGGCUUACUGGUCCGGAACUGACGCUGAGGUGCGAAAGCGUGGGGAGCAAACAGG
rnacentral:rRNA from 1 species